UGGGGAAUUUUGGACAAUGGGCGAAAGCCUGAUCCAGCAAUGCCGCGUGUGUGAAGAAGGCCUUCGGGUUGUAAAGCACUUUUGUCCGGAAAGAAAUCCUUGGCUCUAAUACAGUCGGGGGAUGACGGUACCGGAAGAAUAAGCACCGGCUAACUACGUGCCAGCAGCCGCGGUAAUACGUAGGGUGCAAGCGUUAAUCGGAAUUACUGGGCGUAAAGCGUGCGCAGGCGGUUUGCUAAGACCGAUGUGAAAUCCCCGGGCUCAACCUGGGAACUGCAUUGGUGACUGGCAGGCUAGAGUAUGGCAGAGGGGGGUAGAAUUCCACGUGUAGCAGUGAAAUGCGUAGAGAUGUGGAGGAAUACCGAUGGCGAAGGCAGCCCCCUGGGCCAAUACUGACGCUCAUGCACGAAAGCGUGGGGAGCAAACAGGAUUAGAUACCCUGGUAGUCCACGCCCUAAACGAUGUCAACUAGUUGUUGGGGAUUCAUUUCCUAGUAACGUAGCUAACGCGUGAAGUUGACCGCCUGGGGAGUACGGUCGCAAGAUUAAAACUCAAAGGAAUUGAC
rnacentral:rRNA from 1 species